UCGUUUAUUUGAUAGUACCUUACUACUUGGAUAACCGUGGUAAUUCUAGAGCUAAUACAUGCUAAAAACCCCGACUCCGGGAGGGGUGUAUUUAUUAGAUAAAAAACCAAUGCCCCUCGGGGCUCCUUGGUGAUUCAUGAUAACUUAACGAAUCGCANGGCCUUGCGCCGGCGAUAGUUCAUUCAAAUUUCUGCCCUAUCAACUUUCGAUGGUAGGAUAGCGGCCUACCAUGGUAUCAACGGGUAANGGGGAAUUAGGGUUCUAUUCCGGAGAGGGAGCCUGAGAAACGGCUACCACAUCCAAGGAAGGCAGCAGGCGCGCAAAUUACCCAAUCCCGACGCGGGGAGGUAGUGACAAUAAAUACUGAUACAGGGCUCUUUUGGGUCUUGUAAUUGGAAUGAGUACAAUUUAAAUCCCUUAACGAGGAACAAUUGGAGGGCAAGUCUGGUGCCAGCAGCCGCGGUAAUUCCAGCUCCAAUAGCGUAUAUUAAAGUUGUUGCAGUUAAAAAGCUCGUAGUUGAACCUUGGGCCUGGCUGGCCGGUCCGCCUCACCGCGUGCACUGGUCCGGCCGGGCCUUUCCUUCUGGGGAGCCGCAUGCCCUUCGCUGGGCGUGCCGGGGAACCAGGACUUUUACUUUGAAAAAAUUAGAGUGUUCAAAGCAGGCCUUUGCUCGAAUACAUUAGCAUGGAAUAAUGGAAUAGGACGUGUGGUUCUAUUUUGUUGGUUUCUAGGACCGCCG
rnacentral:rRNA from 2 species